UAAGGCUAUUCUGUUUUACAGCCAAAGAAACAAUAAUGAAAUGACGUGAGCAGACUUAGCAAACAUCAAAAGAAGCUUCCAGCACCCUGGUAUAUAGGAUUAAAAGACAGGUUGCCAAACUUAUCUCUAUCCAAGGAUGAGCAGAUGUUCCGAAGUAAUGGCUGAGUGAGCAAAUGUUACAGUAUUGGUACCUGUAAAGUACUUACAAUAGGCAUUCUCCUACCAAGCACUUGUCAAUGAAGAGAGUUCAUCGAGAGGGCGAGCGAGGAAGAGCAUUGGGUGAAGGAAAAGGCUGUUGGUUGGACUCAUGAUGGUAAAAGCACGCCAGACGGUAGAAGAGACCGUGGAAUGGAAGACUGGAAACCUCAUAAAUCGCUCCCUGAGAUGGCAGGAGCACUGGGACGGGCGGCCCUGAGAACCUCAUGCUGAGUGGUGCUGGGUUGUGCUGGCCCAGCCUGGAAUGCCGAGCACAGCUGGGAGCAUGCCAUGGGAUAUCUGCUCCCAGAUUUGUGCUCGCAUAAUUACACAAAUAAACAAACUUCCUGCA